AUUUUCUUUUCUUUUUUUUUCAUUUUUAAUUAACUUUGAAGUUCCAGAGUACAUGUGCAGAUUUGCUAUGUAGGUAAACCAGUGUCAUGGGGGUUUGUCAUACAGAUUAUUUUGUCACCCCAGGGAUUAAGCCUAGUAUCCACUGGAAACCACAGGACACUUUGAAACUCCUUCAGGACAGAGGCUUUGAGGGAGAAGGCUGCAAGGAGUCCUGUGGGAGGCCCUGGGGUCUUAUUAGUCGAAGGAAACAAAUCAUCAUACCUUUAAUACUGGCUCCAAUUGGCUCCUUUCAUGAGUAG
rnacentral:lncRNA from 1 species